rnacentral:rRNA from 1 species
UACGUAGGGCGCGAGCGUUGUCCGGAAUUAUUGGGCGUAAAGAGCUCGUAGGCGGCCUGUUGCGUCCGCUGUGAAAUCCCAGGGCUCAACCCUGGAACUGCCUUUGAUACUGACGAUCUGGAGAUCGGGAGAGGUGAGUGGAAUUCCGAGUGUAGAGGUGAAAUUCGUAGAUAUUCGGAGGAACACCAGAAGCGAAGGCGGCUCACUGGCCCGAUACUGACGCUGAGGCGCGAAAGCGUGGGGAGCAAACAGG